ensembl:snoRNA
GGCCUCCUGCUGUUUACCACAGGCUGAGUUCUUACACUGACUGUAUAGAGGACUGUAAAGAGGAAGAAGAGCUGGCCCUCCCCAUGUACACCUCAGCUAAGGCCUCGUCGUGCCUGGGCUGUAUUCUGAGUGGGGGAACAAGG